GCAGGGGUACCUGAGUUUGGUUAAAAGGGUAGGGUUCAGGGCCCUAUGGUUUAGUACCUUCGAGAGUUCGAAUCUCUCCUCCUGCA
rnacentral:tRNA from 1 species